rnacentral:rRNA from 1 species
UACGUAGGGGGCAAGCGUUGUCCGGAUUUACUGGGCGUAAAGAGCGUGUAGGCGGCCAGGCAGGUCUGUUGUGAAAACUGGAGGCUCAACUUCCAGACGUCGACAGAAACCGCUUGGCUAGAGUCCGGAAGAGGUGAGUGGAAUUCCGAGUGUAGAGGUGAAAUUCGUAGAUAUUCGGAGGAACACCAGUGGCGAAGGCGGCUCACUGGUCCGGUACUGACGCUGAGGUGCGAAAGCGUGGGGAGCAAACAGG